rnacentral:rRNA from 1 species
UACGGAGGGGGCUAGCGUUGUUCGGAAUUACUGGGCGUAAAGCGCACGUAGGCGGCUUUGUAAGUUAGAGGUGAAAGCCCGGGGCUCAACUCCGGAAUUGCCUUUAAGACUGCAUCGCUAGGAAUUGUGGAGAGGUGAGUGGAAUUCCGAAGUGUAGAGGUGAAAUUCGUAGAUAUUCGGAAGAACACCGGUGGCGAAGGCGGCUCACUGGCUCGUAACUGACGCUCAUGGCAACGACAGCGUUGGGGAUCAAACAGG